UCUAAACUAGCUGAAUUUUCAUACUAACUAUGGCGGAAAAUGAAGAAGGGAGCAAGAGAAAAAUCGAAGAAGAAGUGGACGCCACACAGGCUGCACCAAAGCGAGUACGACUUCAAUCGCAAGAUCUGACGGACUUGUCGAAGGAGGACAUUGUGGAAAGGUUAGUAUCUUCAUGACAGCUAAGAUUGAUCAGUUUUGCUCUUACGCGGAACUUUACCAUGCUUUCACUUACAAUUUGUUCCGUUAAUUAACCGAUCCUUGAGCCUUUCUUUAUAGCUUUACUUUUAUUUCAGUCACGAACGUAGUUUAGAAAGGCUAUGAUUGAUACACGUAUUGCAGAUAUAGAUCAGGCUGGUGAAUUUACAACUGAUAACGGUCGCAAAUGAUACUGGAGAAGCAAUCUGGACUUCUUUAUAAUUUUAAAUUUUAGAGUUUGACGUCAAGUUAUGUUCAUAAUUUGCGGCGAGAAAAUUGGUGACUUCCAAAUUCAUUAGCUAUUUAUUUAGUAAAAGGAACGAAAAAAAAAUGGUGAGAGCUAAGCCGCGAAAGUUACAUCUUGGCCGUGAAAGUAAUGCAUAAGACAGACUUACAUUGUAUGACAUGGGGAAUCUUACUAAGUUUACAUACAAAGCAGUGGUGGUGGUGUUUUAUAAAUCAUGCUGUAUUUUUGUUUAUCAAAAUGGAAAGCCAUUGGCCCAGUCUAAACACAAGGGAAAAGUUAAAAUGUACAUUAUUAGACAGUUUUAAGGUUACUGUAUACCUCUGAAUAGUUUCUAUUUGCAUAAGCCAAACAAUGACCAAUCACAGACACUUUCCAGAUAUCUGCACAGCUAUAGCGUCACUAUUAGGUGUCUUACAUCCAGGCAAUGGAGUAGGUCCUGUUUAAAUUAUAGAUACCUAAACCCCGAUAUCAAAUUAAAGCUUUUAGAGCUGGCUAUCAAACUAUGCCAAGAAUUUUGAAAUAAGAUGAAUUGCUAAAUUUUUUUUACGACCUCUAAACAUGAGCGUCGGAAUCACCUUUUGAAAGCCACAAGUCGUAGCAAAUUUUGUUUUUUUGCUUAUUUAAUUUGUUACUCAGUUUUCGGACCCAAAGCACUAAAAAAUGGUUUGUCUGCAAUUUGCCAUAUUCAAUUUCAUUAAAAAGUUACACAACGUUGUCGAAAUACAGUGCAGCUCAGAUAUAUCCGAACCAAAAUAUACGCGUAAUUCGCAUCAGCCCAAUAC